UACAGAGGUCUCAAGCGUUGUUCGGAUUCAUUGGGCGUAAAGGGUGCGUAGGCGGCGCGGUAAGUCGGGUGUGAAAUCUCGGAGCUUAACUCCGAAACUGCAUUCGAUACUGCCGUGCUUGAGGACUGGAGAGGAGACUGGAAUUUACGGUGUAGCAGUGAAAUGCGUAGAGAUCGUAAGGAAGACCAGUGGCGAAGGCGGGUCUCUGGACAGUUCCUGACACUGAGGCGCGAAAGCGUGGGGAGCAAACAGG
rnacentral:rRNA from 1 species